ensembl:lncRNA
AGAGCUGUCAUUAAAGCAACACGUAUGUUUCACCCUCCCUACAGUGUGUUGUGUCUGUGUGUCGGUGUGACUGUGGGAGCCGAGGGAGCAGAGGUGUCGGUGACACAGGGAGAGGAAUGGAGAGAGAGACGAUAGAUACGGAGGGAGCGAGAUGGUGAGAACAACAGACCUGCGGGAGGGAGGGGGCGCAUGGAGAGAGCGGAGUUCGAUGAACAGAGAAAAAGGGGAAGGAGCGAGACAGGACCCUGAGAGAGAGAGGGAAGGAAACAUUCAAGAUUCUGGAUGA